UACGAAGGGGGCUAGCGUUGCUCGGAAUCACUGGGCGUAAAGCGCACGUAGGCGGACUCUUAAGUCGGUGGUGAAAUCCUGGAGCUCAACUCCAGAACUGCCUUCGAUACUGAGAGUCUUGAGUCCGGGAGAGGUGAGUGGAACUGCGAGUGUAGAGGUGAAAUUCGUAGAUAUUCGCAAGAACACCGAUGGCGAGGACG
rnacentral:rRNA from 1 species